GGUGAGACUAGCCCGACGGGGUGAAAAGCAAGAAACCCUACUUGCCUGUCUCGCUAAACUUUAGGGG
rfam:Xenorhabdus cabanillasii JM26, WGS project CBXE01000000 data, contig: XENCA_2134_Contig_158